rnacentral:rRNA from 1 species
UGGGGAAUCUUCCGCAAUGGACGAAAGUCUGACGGAGCAACGCCGCGUGAGUGAAGAAGGUUUUCGGAUCGUAAAACUCUGUCUUUUGGGGCGAACGUGAGUAUGGUGAACAAUCAUAGUCAGUGACGGUACCAAAGGAGGAAGCCACGGCUAACUACGUGCCAGCAGCCGCGGUAAUACGUAGGUGGCAAGCGUUGUCCGGAAUUAUUGGGCGUAAAGAGCGCGUAGGCGGGAUAGUCAGUCUGUUGUAAAAGUGCGGGGCUCAACCCCGUGAUGGCAAUGGAAACAGCUAUUCUUGAGUGCAGGAGAGGAAAGUGGAAUUCCCAGUGUAGCGGUGAAAUGCGUAGAUAUUGGGAGGAACACCAGUGGCGAAGGCGACUUUCUGGACUGUGUCUGACGCUGAGGCGCGAAAGCCAGGGGAGCGAACGGGAUUAGAUACCCCGGUAGUCCUGGCCGUAAACGAUGGGUACUAGGUGUGGGAGGUAUCGACCCCUUCCGUGCCGGAGUUAACGCAAUAAGUACCCCCGCCUGGGGAGUACGGUCGCAAGACUGAAACUU